GAUGAACGCUGGCGGCGUGCCUAAUACAUGCAAGUCGAGCGAACAGAUGAGGAGCUUGCUCCUCUGACGUUAGCGGCGGACGGGUGAGUAACGCGUGGAUAACCUACCUAUAAGACUGGGAUAACUUCGGGAAACCGGAGCUAAUACCGGAUAAUAUCUUGAACCGCAUGGUUCAAUAGUGAAAGACGGUUUUGCUGUCACUUAUAGAUGGAUCCGCGCCGCAUUAGCUAGUUGGUAAGGUAACGGCCUACCAAGGCAACGAUGCGUAGCCGACCGGAGAGGCGGAUCGGCCGCACUGGAGCUGAGACGCGGACCAGACUCCUACGAGAGGCAGCAGUAGGGAAUCUUCCGCAGUGGUCGAGAGCCUGACGGAGCAACCGCGCGUGAGUGAUGAAGGUCUUCGGAUCGUAAAACUCUGUUAUUAGGGAAGAACAAAUUUGUAAGUAACUAUGCACGCCGUGACGGUACCUAAUCAGAAAGCCACGGCUAACUACGUG
rnacentral:rRNA from 1 species